UUUGUGUGCACAGUAGCCUGGGGGGAUUGUAGUUGCAUUACACCAUAGAGGGAACACUUCCACUUAGCGAAGGCCCUGCCCUGGGUGUAAGUCGUGUGUAAUCCAUGCUCUAGUGUUGUAGCUGGUGAAUUAACCCCGAGUGGCCCAAGUAGGUGUUAUAUAUAUAUAUAUAUAUAUAUAUAUAUAUAUAUAUAAAUGAAGGGAAGGCUGCAUUAUGGAAUUCCAGUUUCUUUUAUGAAUGCAAAAUUCAGAUGCAAAUUGCCCUGUUUUACCCACAUUACAGCAUUUUGGUUACAGAUCCAGGACUGGACACCAGAUAAGUAGCAGCUCAGUUCAUUUUGCACAGAACUUGCGCUGCAUGUUAUUACAACAUGCAGCGCCUACAAACAGAAGGAUAGCGACCCAUGACUUUCCGAACCCCCCACCCAUUCACACAAGUUCUGUGAUUCCUGUUCCUGACGCCCCAAGCACCCCCAUAUUUACUUUUGUCUGCAGUUUAUCCAAGGGUGUGCUGUUGCUUACAGCAAGUACCUAAAUAAGCCCUUGUAUUUUAAUCUACUUCCUGCCUGCCAUGGGAUUCCAGCUGUCUUGCUUUACAGGCUCAGGAGGAGGUGGACCUGAUCUGAAAUGUUCAAGAACUUCUGAAAAGGAUGUUGGAUCAAACAGCUCAGCUCAAGGAUGAGAAAGGUCCCCCGGUGGGACCGAAACGUCGGAUUGAGAUGUAAUUUGGUUCACAAAAAAAGAAAACUUUCUUCACCAACAAGACAGUCAAUUGGAGGCAACUGUCCACGAAAGAACUUCCUAUUAUAUUCAUCGAAUAGGGCGUGGAUAUCAGGUUUGGGGUCCAGCACCUCCCAAUAUGGAUCGACAACAGACAGACGUUCAAGAUCUGGUUGAGUCACCCCAAGAUCCUCAUCAGUCUGACAAGCCACAGAAGGAUUCUCACGAGUCUUAGAAUUGAUUGAAGCAUUUUCAGAAGGUUUAUGAGUCAUACAAAUAUCAGGAGAAUGUAUUUCCGAAAUCUGCUCCGAGGAGCCAUUCGGCGAUGAAAAAAAUACACCCAUCUCCCUCAACUUGUGUUGUCUCUACGCCAGUUGCUUCACCAACUGGAUAAGGAGGUGGACCUGAUCUGAAAUGUUCAAGAACUUCUGAAAAGGACGUUGGAUCAAACAGCUCAGCUCAAGGAUGAGAAAGGUCCCCCGGUGGGACCGAAACGUCGGAUUGAGAUGUCAAUUGGAGGCAACUGUCCACGAAAGAACUUCCUAUUAUAUUCAUCGAAUAGGGCGUGGAUAUCAGGUUUGGGGUCCAGCACCUCCCAAUAUGGAUCGACAACAGACAGACGUUCAAGAUCUGGUUGAGUCACCCCAAGAUCCUCAUCAGUCUGACAAGCCACAGAAGGAUUCUCACGAGUCUUAGAAUUGAUUGAAGCAUUUUCAGAAGGUUUAUGAGUCAUACAAAUAUCAGGAGAAUGUAUUUCCGAAAUCUGCUCCGAGGAGCCAUUCGGCGAUGAAAAAAAUACACCCAUCUCCCUCAACUUGUGUUGUCUCUACGCAGUUGCUUAACCAACUGGAUAAGGUCAAUUGGAGGCAACUGUCCACGAAAGAACUUCCUAUUAUAUUCAUCGAAUAGGGUGUGGAUAUCAGGUUUGGGGUCCAGCACCUCCCAAUAUGGAUCGACAACAGACAGACGUUCAAGAUCUGGUUGAGUCACCCCAAGAUCCUCAUCAGUCUGACAAGCCACAGAAGGAUUCUCACGAGUCUUAGAAUUGAUUGAAGCAUUUUCAGAAGGUUUAUGAGUCGUACAAAUAUCAGGAGAAUGUAUUUCCGAAAUCUGCUCCGAGGAGCCAUUCGGCGAUGAAAAAAAUACACCCAUCUCCCUCAACUUGUGUUGUCUCUACGCAGUUGCUUUACCAACUGGAUAAGGUUGGUUUUUCUUAUUGUGAUGUCACAUGACGUCACAUGACAUUCUGUGCAUGCUGGAGGUGCCUCACUGUGAUGUCAUACACCUGCUCACUCCAGCAACCUGUAGCUCUUAAACGGAAAAAAAUCACUUUUAAAAGCCUAUUUAUUGAUGCAGCUAUAAUGGGCAAAUAAUUACCAUACUAUACCUUGGUGUUACAUACACCUGUGGAUGUAAAUGUCGCACUACUUUGCAACUUCUGCCAUUGCACUAGCAUUUUGAGAAAUCCCUGCAUUAAAUAAAAAGAUUUGGGAAAUGGCACUGUGUUUUAAAACCUUGUUGUCUUUUAACAAAUGAUUAGCGAUUUUUAACGUCAAAUAUUACUGGAACAUUCUUUUUCUUAUGUUUUUUUUCCAACCCUCAAUUUGAAAUAUUUCUCCCAUCAGUAGCUUCAUGGGCCUGACCAAUCAGACGCUAGCAUUUGAAGCUAUUUUUUCUUUUUUGGUAACAGGUGUAUGUUGACUGUAAGGGAUGAAGCACAAAAUGAUUUGCCAAUAUUAAGACUUACAUCUAAUUGAGUCUUCUGUUAUUUACUUGGUUUCCCAGCAGCUUCAUAAAUAAUUACAUUAAAGGGGAGGAACUUAUUAAUGAACAAACUUUUGUAGAGGAGGGGGCUAUCCAGAACAUUAUUUGG